UUGGUUAGGUUACGUACCGUAACGGCGCAACCCUUGUCCUUAGUUACCAGCACGUUAUGGUGGGCACUCUAAGGAGACUGCCGGUGACAAACCGGAGGAAGGUGGGGAUGACGUCAAGUCAUCAUGGCCCUUACGGCCUGGGCUACACACGUGCUACAAUGGUCGGUACAAAGGGUUGCCAAGCCGCAAGGUGGAGCUAAUCCCAUAAAACCGAUCGUAGUCCGGAUCGCAGUCUGCAACUCGACUGCGUGAAGUCGGAAUCGCUAGUAAUCGUGAAUCAGAAUGUCACGGUGAAUACGUUCCCGGGCCUU
rnacentral:rRNA from 1 species